rnacentral:rRNA from 1 species
UACGUAGGGUGCGAGCGUUAAUCGGAAUUACUGGGCGUAAAGCGUGCGCAGGCGGUUCGUUAUGUCCGUUGUGAAAGCCCCGGGCUCAACCUGGGAAUGGCAAUGGAAACUGGCGAGCUUGAGUGUGGCAGAGGGGGGUGGAAUUCCGCGUGUAGCAGUGAAAUGCGUAGAGAUGCGGAGGAACACCGAUGGCGAAGGCAGCCCCCUGGGCUGACACUGACGCUCAGGCACGAAAGCGUGGGGAGCAAACAGG